GUGCACGCUGGCGGUAGGCCUAACACAUGCAAGUCGCACGGCAGCACAGUAAGAGCUUGCUCUUACGGGUGGCGAGUGGCGGACGGGUGAAGAAUACAUCGGAAUCUACUUUUUCGUGGGGGAUAACGUAGGGAAACUUACGCUAAUACCGCAUACGACCUACGGGUGAAAGCAGGGGAUCUUCGGACCUUGCGCGAUUGAAUGAGCCGAUGUCGGAUUAGCUAGUUGGCGGGGUAAAGGCCCACCAAGGCGACGAUCCGUAGCUGGUCUGAGAGGAUGAUCAGCCACACUGGAACUGAGACACGGUCCAGACUCCUACGGGAGGCAGCAGUGGGGAAUAUUGGACAAUGGGCGCAAGCCUGAUCCAGCCAUACCGCGUGGGUGAAGAAGGCCUUCGGGUUGUAAAGCCCUUUUGUUGGGAAAGAAAAGCAGCAGGUUAAUACCCCGCUGUUCUGACGGUACCCAAAGAAUAAGCACCGGCUAACUUCGUG
rnacentral:rRNA from 1 species